CCCUUAGAUGUUCUGGGCGGCCCGCGCACCACAAUGGCGCUUUCAGCGAGUUCCUAUGUUGAAUUUUCCUUGGUAUUCUUGGAAGCGGCGUCUUGACUUGGGAUAGAUCCUUGUAAUUGUUGGUUUUGAACGAGGAAUUCCUUGUAAUCGCGGUUGAUCAGCUCGCGUUGAAUACGUCCCUGCCCUUUGUACACACCGCCCGUCGCUCCUACCGAUGAAUCGUCCGGUGAAGUUCACAGAGUGGCGGUUCGUGGAGUUGCUCGCGAAGUGAAAUGGACCUCACGAUUUAGAGGAAGGAGAAGUCGUAACA
rnacentral:rRNA from 1 species